rnacentral:rRNA from 1 species
UACGUAGGGUGCGAGCGUUAAUCGGAAUUACUGGGCGUAAAGCGUGCGCAGGCGGUUCGUUGUGUCGGUGGUGAAAGCCCCGGGCUUAACCUGGGAAUGGCCAUGGAACUGGCGAACUGGAGUGUGGCAGAGGGGGGUAGAAUUCCACGUGUAGCAGUGAAAUGCGUAGAGAUGUGGAGGAAUACCGAUGGCGAAGGCAGCCCCCUGGGCCAAUACUGACGCUCAUGCACGAAAGCGUGGGGAGCAAACAGG